UACGGCCACAUUACAGUGAAACACCGGUUCCUGUACGAUCACCAAAGUUAAGCAACAUUGAGCCUACUCAGUACUUAAAUGGGUGACUCAUUGGAAAUAUUAGGUACUGUAA